AAAUAACACUUUAUUUUUAUAAUAGAAAGUUGACAAUAUUUUAAAGGAUUGUCAAAUGUAUUCCAGCUCAAACUUGCCGAUACAAGUUUAUUUGAAAUAUUCAAUUAUCGCAUGAUCCAAAAAUCAUAUUUGAGAUGUUUACUUCUAGAAUCUAAAUAUGCUUUAGAGACAAGCUAAAAGUAGUCCACUAGGAUCUAUUUAUAUUCUUCAUCGGCUUUCUUUUGUUUGAGCUGUGAUCUUGGCAUAUAGCAAAUUUGUGGUAUCAAACAAAAAAAAAAAAAGAUAUACUUGAAUGAGUCCGGAUCCUCAUUGGAUCAUCUUUGUGAAGAUUCCGAAGAUCCGUAAAUUGUGUCCAUUCAUUGUAUAUCGUGCGAUCAUAAAUUAUUUUACAUAUUUUUAUUUAAAAAUAAAUAUAAACAGUACUUGAUAAAAACUGAUCGCACGAUAUAUAAUAAAUAGACACAAUUCAUGUAUUUCCAGAUCAUCAUCAAAAGAAUUUGGAGAAGAUCCUGUUGGUACUUGAAUAUCCUGUUAGCGCGGUAGUAUUAGUCCACCUUCCUGCAAGUUGCAGAUUACUUUAAAACAAAAAAUUAUGAAUAUCGCACAACGAUAAAUUUGGUUAUGGGCAUGGCAAUUAAAAAAGUAACAUAAAUACAAUAGUCAUACAAAGGAGAUGAUUGGAUGAUGGCUUGCGAGAUGGAACCGGACCGAUUUUCAUUAUUCACCUUUGCUUCUAAAUUUUAAGUACAAAAAAUGUCUAUAAGUAACGUGAUAGCAUUUUAUCCAUCAGGAAUAAUAUAUGAAUGAAUAAGUAUUUAUAUUUAGGGUAAAUUACAUAGUAGCCCAUCAGGUUUGAGGUCUAUUACAACCUCAUACAACAUCUUUAAAACAUUUCAUUUUCAUACCUCACG
rnacentral:lncRNA from 1 species